GAAAAACAAACACGGUUCAGCUUCUGUGAGAAACCAAAUUACAACAUCAAAAAACCCUCAAGCUAGAAAACUAUAAACAUAAAAAACCGCAAUUCAAAUUGCAGAUCCAAAAAAACUUCAAAAAUAAUCUCACCUUUUCUUCUGAAACAAGGGGAAGGAGACAAGGGCUUAAACCCCUGGUCUUAUACGAGAGUAGUAACACAGAGGACGUGUCUGAAAAAAGAAGAAGAGCGAAUAACCGGCUAUAACCAGUAAACCCCACCCUGAAGACCUGUUCUUCUUCUCCCUUCUUGGGUCACCACCACUGUCUCACGUACUUCCCCCUGAUUCGGCCACGUGUUGUCUCUGUCGGAUCGUCCGGCUUUUUUUACAACACACAAACUUCGACAAUAACGUUGAGUCACACAUGCCAUGUAAUGUUUUUUUUUUCCUUUCAGUCCAAGCCAUGUCAUUCUCC